UACGUAGGGGGCAAGCGUUGUCCGGAAUCAUUGGGCGUAAAGAGCGUGUAGGCGCCCGGUAAGUCCGCUGUGAAAGUCGAGGGCUCAACCCUCGAAUGCCGGCGGAUACUGUCGGGCUAGAGUCCGGAAGAGGCGAGUGGAAUUCCUGGUGUAGCGGUGAAAUGCGCAGAUAUCAGGAGGAACACCUACGGCGAAGGCAGCUCGCUGGGACGGUACUGACGCUGAGACGCGAAAAGCGUGGGGGAGCAAAACAGG
rnacentral:rRNA from 1 species